rnacentral:misc_RNA from 1 species
AAAGAUAUUUCAAAAUACAUGUGCAAUCUUUUCCGCCUCUCUAUAUACACCCACCGAUGGCGAUAUCAAUGGCUAUGCAAAAAGCAGAUUCCGCGCGAUUCACGAUAUGUCGACACACCAAGUUGCGAUUAUAAACAGCGAGCAGCAGGAAGUAGCAAUGCACGUCGAUCCGUAAAGAUGAAUGGCGGUUGGUUAUAUAAGCAGUGGGAGUAUUUAUACAUCAGUCCAAAAUAGUUGAGAAACCACAUUCGGAAGCGAUUACAUAUGCUUGCCUUGAUGCUCUACUCGUGCGAACAGCAUACAUGGUCGAUCACGGAAACUUACCGGGAUUUGAUUGAGAUUGAUGUCGGACUUCUCCCUAUUGGAACAAUUUGCGGUAUAACCGGGUUCCUGAUUGAAUCGCCUGCCGAACUUUAAGAGAUUUCUCAUAAUCAUGGUACUCGAUUUUCAACUCGCAGACAUCGUCGCCGCCCUGGUUCUUCACCACCCCGGCGGUAACGAAGGAAUAUGAGUGAC